GAAGGUGGAUUGAUUUACACCCAGUAUUCCUGAUCAUUUUCCUCUGAUACCCUCCCAACAAUGGCAGUAUCAUCAGAGAACUUCUGCAUGUGACAGCUGCUUGUGUUGGGCCUGACGUCCGCUGUAUAUAGGGUAGAGAGAAAAGGAGCCAGCAGUGUACCCUGUGGUGCUCCUGUACUGCUCAUCACAACAUCAGACAAACAGUCCUGGAGCCUCACAUAUUGUGGUCUGUCAGUGAGGUAACUAAUGCUCCAUGCAGACAGGUGGGGGUCAACACCAGCUCCCAAUAGCUUCCCCCAGGGCAGUGAUGGUUGAAUUGUAUUGAAAGCACUGAAAGAAUCAAAAACAUGACCCUACCA